AGAAUGAACGCUGGCGGCGUGGUUAAGACAUGCAAGUCGAACGGUUUUUUAUUGAAGGGCAACCGGAUAUGAAAGCAGUGGCGAACGGGUGCGUAACACGUGAACAAUCUACCUCCAAGUGGGGAAUAGCUCGCCGAAAGGCGAAAUUAAUACCGCAUGUGGUGGUCUCUCGCAUGAGAGGCUUAACGUAAAGUCGAAGGGACCGCAACGGCCUGGACGCGUAGGAGAGGUAGUUCGCGGCCUAUCGAGCUAGUUGGCGAGGUAACGGCUACACCGAAGGCUAAAGGACGGGUAGCGUUGGUCUGGAAGAGGAU
rnacentral:rRNA from 1 species